CCCUUAGAUGUCCUGGGCCGCACGCGCGUUACACUGAUGCAUUCAACGAGCUUAUAACCUUGGCCGAGAGGCCUGGGCAAUCUUGUUAACGUGCAUCGUGAUAGGGAUAGAUUAUUGAAAUUAUUAAUCUUGGACGAGGAAUUCCUAGUAAACGCAGAUCAUCAAUCUGCACUGAUUACGUCCCUGCCCUUUGUACACACCGCCCGUCGCACCUACCGAUUGGAUGGUCCGGUGAAGCCUCGGGAUUGUGGUUCUUGCCGCUUUAUUGUGGCGUGACCGCGAGAACUUGUCUAAACCUUAUCAUCUAGAGGAAGGUGAANUCGUAACA
rnacentral:rRNA from 1 species